ensembl:lncRNA
GUCUGUUAUUAUUAUUAAAAGCCUUUCCUUCCCUCUUCCAGUUUUCUCCAGACUGGAUAAUCCAAAUCCUUGUCUCUUGCCUUCACAAGAGAAAACCCUGAGCCCUCCCCCGGCACCUCUCCUGCGCCACCUCUGGACGUCACCUGUGUCUUCAGGCGGCAGUGAGUCCAGCUCAGGGCUCUGAUUGGCAGGGGACAGGGUUGAAUGAAAGAGGCCUGAGAAACAGCCCUGCGUCCUGGAGGACCCUCAGGUCCAUUAUUAAGGCCUUUGCCACCUGCAAGGCACCUGAGCUCCGCACUCUCCUUGCAUUAUUUCACUUCAACCUCGCUACAACUCUGGUUGUUUAGUCGCUCAGUUGUGUCUGACUCUUUUGUGACCCCAUGGACUAUAGCCUGCCAGGCUCCUCUGUCCAUGGAAUUCUCCAGGCAAGAAUACUGGAGUGGAUUGCCAUUCCCUUCUCAAGAGGAUCUUCCCAACCCAGGGAUCGAACCCACGUCUCUAAUGUCUACCGCAUUGGCAGUCAGGUUCUUUACCACUAGUGCCACCUGGGAAGCCCACUGAGCCUUAGCCUCCACCCAUAGCCUUAGAGGGAGUUCCCUAUGAUCAGCUGAUGGAAGAAGAGAAGACUCAGGUCUGGUUUACAGAUAAUUCUGUGCAAUAUGCAGGCACCACCCACAAGUGAACAGCUGCAAUACUGUAGCCCCUUUGAGGGACAUCCUGAAGGGCACUGCAAAGGGGAGUGGUCCCUGUGGGCAGAACGUCGCACAGUGCACCUGGUCGUUCACUUUGUUUGAAAGGAGAAAUGAUCAGACAUGUGACUGUAUAUCAACUCCUAGGCUGUGGCCAAUGGCUUGGCUGAAUCGUCAGGGACUUGGAUGGAACGUGAUUGGAAAAUUUGUAACACGGAAACUUGAGGAAGAUCUAUGGGAUAGAACUCUCCGAAUGGACAAAAAAUAUGAAGGUAUUUGUGUUCCAAGGAAAAGAUCACAAAGAGUGAUCUCAGUAGAGGAGGAUUUUAAUAAUCAAGUGGAUAGGAUGACCUGUUAUGUGAAUACCAGUCAGUCUGUUUUCCCAGCCACCCAUGUCAUUGCACAACGGGCCCAUGAACAAAGUAGCCAUUGUAGCCAUGACAGGUUAUGCAUGGACUCAGCUACAUGGCUUUUCACUUACCAAGGCCAACCUGGCUAAGGCAAUCACAGAGUGCCCAAUCUGGCAACAGCAGAGACCAACACUGGGCCCCCUGCAUGGUACCAUUCCUGCGUGAACAGUUGAUUACAUUUGACCACUUCCAUCAUGGAAGGGGCAGUGUUUUAUUCUUAAUAGAAUAAAUAUUUACUCUGGAUAUACAUUUGCCUUCUCUGCAUGCAAGUCUUCUGCCCAAACUACCAUUCUGUGGAUUUACAGAAGGAUUUCUUUGGAAGGAAUGAUGCUAAAGCUGAAACUCCAGUACUUUGGCCACCUCAUGCGAAGAGUUGACUCAUUGGAAAAGACUCUGAUGCUGGGAGGGAUUGGGGGCAGGAGGAGAAGGGGACGACAGAGGAUGAGAUGGCUGGAUGGCAUCGCUGACUCGAUGGAUGUGAGUCUUGAGUGAACUCCGGGAGUUGGUGAUGGACAGGGAGGCCUGGCGUGCUGUGAUUCAUGGGGUUGCAAAGAGUCGGACACGACUGAGCGACUGAUCUGAUCUGAAUCCACCAUCAUGGUAUUACACACAACAUUGCUUUUGAUCAUGGAAGCUACUUAUCAGCAAAUGAAGUGUGUCAAUGGCCCCAUGCUCGUGGGAUUCACUGGUUUUACCAUGUUGCCUGCUAUCCUGAAGCUACUGGUUUGAUCAAAUGGUGGAAAGGCCUUUUGAAGACUCUGUUACAGUACCAGCAACAGUGGCAAUCCAGGCAGGACUACUAACAGCCCAGACCCUUCAGGAAUGAGUUUGGGUCACCCCACCAGGUUGUUUUCAAUCGGGCUAUUAUGAACUGGACAUGGAACAACAGACUGGUUCCAAAUAGGAGAAGGAGUAUGUCAAGGCUGUAUAUUGUCACCCUGCUUAUUUAACUUCUAUGCAGAGUACAUCAUUAUAAACGCUGAGCUGGAGGAAGCACAGGCUGGAAUCAAGAUUGCCAGGAGAAAUAUCAAUAACCUCAGAUAUGCAGAUGACACCACCCUUAUGGCAGAAAGUGAAGAGGAACUAAAAA